rnacentral:lncRNA from 1 species
GCUACUCCUUUUAUUUUGUUUUAAUAAAUGAAUUGAUAGAUAUGUAGGUUGCGACAAUUUUUAUUAAUUUAGCAUACAUAUAUUGUGAUGUUCGAUUUAGAUAAAUAGGUAAAUCAAGUAAUUAAGAUACAUAGUUUAAAGAGUUAAUCAAAAAACUAGGAAUAAAAAAUAGAUUUUCUAGUGUAACAUGUCAAUUUGGUUAAUGAAUAUAGUCGAUGCCCUGCUGUGAUAUCCAUGGUGCUUAAUGCUUGAUUUUAAGUGUUUCAUCCUUUUUAGUGUAGAUUAUCUAAAUUAUACUCGUAUACUCGUGCUCAUACAUGUGCAUCGUGCAUCUCAUGAGGUACGAUAAAUAAUCGCGUGAUGCGGAAAAGAGUCAAGUCAACCCCAAGCGCGUGCUAAUCCGCAAGAUGAUAUUGAUGAAUUAACCUGAAGAUGGAUGGACGAAGCAAGUAUUGGAACAAAGACUGAUCGUCAAGUGAUCGACGUCUAACAAACACUAACCUAGUGUUACCCAGGCAAGCCCCGGUGCAUUUACCCCUUCCUUGUGUUUUUAAAUUAUUUUACACACUUUAAGUCUAGUGAAAUGUGCAUUAGGUUUAUAGGAGUUGCUUGGAACCCUUUGAUGCAUUGCCUUCCUUGAAAUCCAUACCUUUUAUAGAUACUUCUGGUGAAGUAUCAAAAUAUGAUUUACAAAAAAAUGCUUAGCCCUGCUUAUAGGCAGAUAGAGUUUGUCCUUUGCACUUAUGCCUAGCUCAGGUUGAUCCUGAGGAAGGAUGACUUCUACCUGCAAGAAUAUUUUCAUUGUGAGCAUGGUGGGAUCUUACUGCAAAGUUCCCUAUAAUGAUCUUUUCAUCCUAAGGAACACAAACAAUCCUAAGGGUGGAAGUACUUAAAUCGGGACUUGGGCUAGGAACAGGUGAUGUUCCGUCCGGGUCAAUUAAGGAUUGGAUGCGUAUGUAGGCCUGAUAGAUCAAGGACUAUCUUAACUGGCCACAUGCCCUGGAAAUGGGACAGGGUAAGCUUGAACCCGGCUAUUCCAUACGUGAAAAGACAACCGCGCACUGGGCGUGGGAGAUGGUGGGAGUAGCGUGUGCCCUCCUGGCUAGAGGCUGGAUGGAGGAGUACUGUGCUCCCGGGUAGCGCGGACCGGUUCACGUUGUGGAGGAUCUGUGGGAACGGUUGACAUAUGCAAGGGUUAAGUGCUACAUAUGUCGUGUGGUUAGAGAUCCUCAGCUGAGUAAAUCGAUUCGGAUCGCCGUUAUAUCCCCGGAGAGUGGAGACUUGAUCACUGACCUGCAACCUAAGUCAGGAUGUGAACCUCAUGAAUAAAAAUGAUGUUGUAUUGAUGAGAUGGUGAAAUUAGACCAGAUGCAAACAGAGUCUAUUAAUAUUUAAUCUGGCGUUAAAAUAUUGAAAGAAAGGACUCACUUUAGUAAGCUCUUUCUGCAAAAGUAUCUAAGUUGAUUCUUGCUAAAGCCUCUCCUUGAUUCCCAAAUCCAGCAUAUCCUUGAGAGUCUUUUCUUUAGUCGGGUAAGACUUGCUGAGUAAUUCCAUACUCAGGGUUUUAUUCCCUGUUGUUUUUCAGGUUUAGUUUUGUGCUGCUGAUGAUGGUGUUUAAGUGCCGGUGGGCUCGGCCUUCUUAUAAGUCUAAGUACUUCUUCUAUACUUCUUAAUGAGGAUGGUCACUUGAGCUAGCAUACAUUUCAAACUUAUAAUUUUGUAAUCACUCCGAUAAAAUAAUGUAAAAUUUUUGUAACCUGUAAAAUUUGGUAGUAAGAUUUCCGCUGCAACAAUAUUGGUGUGUGUGAUUUGUGUUACUUAAUCCCGCGGUUCUGGUUGAAAGUGGUUUAUCCGAUGUCCUUGGGGCAAUCGGACAGAUCCUGUUGAGUUAUCUGGUGCACAUGCAUGGUCGUUUGAGGUCUUUGGGACAAGGACGGGUGCAUGUGGGCCCAAUAACUUGGAGGUUCUGCCACACCUGCUCCUGGUCCUCCUCUUGGACAGGUCCUUGCUCGGGGAUGAGCACGUACUCUCCGUCGGCAAGAUUACAAUCUAAUGAAUGCAAUGCGUAAGAUAUAUGCAUGAUAUGAUAUGUGCUUUUAGAAAUUACAACUUUAAAGGUGUAUGAUCUUUCUUGAGUUAAACAAGGUUAACUUUACUUAUGUAAGACCCUUGGGUGGUAUACUUGGUAAAUUGGGUUAAACUUAGUUAAGGUAAGUAAAUUAAAUUUUGGGGUUCCACCGAGUUCCUGUUAAGUCUUAGUGAGAAUUGAUAAGUACUCAAGUUAGAUUUAUUGAGGUGGGGUUUAUUUCUUCUUCCCUUUUCUUUUAUUCUCUUUAUUGUUUUGGAGUAGGUUUGAACUACAAGUUGCUUUUAUAAAAUUCUAAAAAUUCUGUAAACAUUACAGUGGCUUGUUACUGGUGUGUGUUUCUCUGUCUCAAAUUUUGGGGAUCAGAAAGUGAAUAGUUUUCUCUGGACAAAAUUAUUAAAUUCUAGGGCAGAAGGGGUGAUUUGAACUACAACUAUUAUUUAACAGUGGGUCAUCCUUCAAAACUCAUUUUUGCUGGCUUUUAGGUGUUAUAACAUGGCUUGAUAUAAAUUUCUAAUCAUUAAUACCUUUUAAUUAUUUUUCUAUGGCUUUCUCAUGUUUCUAGCCCAAUGGGUGCUUUCUAGUACUACUAUAUUUGAUAAGCAUCAAACAACAGAGUUCUUAUUUUUCUUAGUUAUUAUUUUGUGCAAGAGCAAUCAUUCUGAAGUUUGGCAUCUUUUUGCUUAAGGGAAGGGGUGGUAUGCAUUAUUUGAAUUAAGUAGUCUUUCUCUUAAAUCCUUAGCAAUUGGUAUGAGUUUGCUUCUUUUUUAUGGGUUGGCAUUUUUCUCUGGUGGUUUAUCUCAUUACGAACUUAGCUAAUUUUUGGUUGCCCAUUAUCAUAUUAUUUGGGGUUGUUCAUGAUUUAUUUGGAAAAUGCCUUAUUAUCACUUUGCAUUUAAUUUCCUUACUUAAAAAGUUGGGCUGAGGUGCUCUGUAUUUUUGUAGUGGGGCUCUGGUGUUUGUAAGUCCACUGGAUUUUUAUUAUUCAUUUUGGUGAUAGCUUUGCCUCUUUAAUAAUUGAUUUUCAGUCUACAUAAGGCUAAAUGAAUCCUUUUAAUUUAAAACUGGUCCAAAGUAAUGGUCUCUGUAUUUUUCCUAGAUUCUCUGUUACAUAAGUAAACUAGGAAAAAUAAUCUUAAUCACUGUUCAUUAAUUCUAAUGCCCUUCUGAUUUUUCCUAAGUUUUAGGCAAAAUUGCUUUAAAUGAAUAACUACAUCAUAAUUUCUAAUGCUGGGGUUCCUACUAUUUUUAAACAGUGUCUAAAUAAGGUUUGAACAUCUACAAAUUUUCUUAAGUUCAGCACAGAAGAAAAACUAAUUUUCCUUAAUUAAACAAGGUUUGGUGGGUUUCUGUUUUUAAAUUCAAACUCUAAAAUUUAGAACAAAAAGCAUAGGGUUUAUUAUUUUUAAAUGAUAGUUCAUAAUAUUCAAGAGCUAGCAAAAUUGGUUUGACAACUUUUUAUGAAGAAUUCAUCAAGUUAUGGGUUUCCUAAGUUCUCUGGUCAUUUAAAAAGAAUAACAGAAUUGGUUUAAAUGGAAAUCCACUUUGCACUGGGGUCCCUGGCGGGUUUUUAAGUUUUCUUCGCGGAUCAGUCCUUAGGCUACUAUUCACAUGAGUCACUGACGUUGCAGAAAACCCCUCGGGUUCUACAAAUCCUAACCCGAGGUCCUUCUUCUACCUUAAACAGUAACCGCGGCGGAAGAAAGGGCGAAGGGGCUUACCGGCGGCGAGAUUGCUCCGGUGAAGUGGUCUAGGACGAAGGGGAGGUCUCGGGGAUCACAACGGUGUGCGGGACGCCGUCGGAGAUGGCCGGAGUCGGUCGGUCCACGCGCGCAGGCGGGGAUGCUCGUCGGCGGCGAGGAGACCGGCCUGGUCACGGCGAGAUAGUUCAAUCAGAUGGGUCAGGGAGGUCCACGGGAUGCCAGAGAAGACAUGAGCGCAAGGAAUUGGGCGGAGACUCACUGGAUAGCUCGGUCCACACGCGGCGGCGGAAGACCGAAGUCCGGUGAGGUCGAUCUCGGGCCUCCGGUGAAGUCCGGUCGAGUCCGAGGGCUUGGCAAGCUUCACGGGCUACUGGCGGAGCUAGCCGAAGCACUGGCUUGCCCAGAGGAUGGCUGGAGUGGGCUGGCCACGAUGGCCGAAGCUCUGGCGGCAAUGGCGGGCGGAAUUGAGCUCGCCGGAGCUGAGGGAAAGUGGCUGGCCGGUGUGGGUGAGUGCGGGGCGAAGUGGGGCGCGCCUGGGAAGGCUUUAUAGGCGCGGCGCGGUGCACGGGCGGUCGUGGACUGGCGAGUGCGCGCGGGCGUGCACUGGGAGGCGCGGUGCGCGAACAGGCGUGAACCGGGGGUGUCAGCCACGGUCGAACACGUGUUCCCGUUGCCUCUGCCCCUGUUCAAGCGCCGAUUGGGAGCAAAUCUUCACGAAUUUGGGCAAGAUCGCUGUGAAGGAUUUGUUCACCUGACCAAGCUUUGUCUUUUGUGUAUGGACAUCGCGCGGUUUUAGGCUAGGGACAGGGAGUUGUAGCGUCACCAAGGUGCCAGUGUCAGAAUGCCUGGUCCCGAGGUCAAGCUGCGCCAAAACCAUGCCAAAUGAAUUUGGUUUGAGUUCAAAUUUUUCCAGGAUGUGUUCAAGGGAAUUUGGCACGACUUUGAUAUUUGGAUCUCCUGGCUUUGAGUUUUGAAAAGCAGAGAACGCAGAUGAUCUUUGGGAAGAGGUCUGAAAUUCAGAAAUUCAGAAAUCUGAAUUUCUCUAAGGGUUCAUAGAUCAAGGGCUGAUUUGGGGAUUUAUUUGAGUUAUUUUGGCUAAGCUUUCUCAACCUUUCUUGUUGCUCAAUAAAUAUACUUUAACUUAUAUAAUUGGCUCAAGUCAAAAUUUUAAACUUUUCAUUCCCUUUCUCUUAUUUUCUUGAAUUUUGCUCAUAGGGCUCACUUAGAGUUUUUAUUAGGGUUGCACAUUCUUACCUUUUUAAAAGACUCAAUUGUUUUGAUCAUGACACUUUUAAGUAUAUAUACUUGGUGAAUUCUUUAUUACUUAAGUUAAUUUGAUGCUCAUGCUUACUUUGGUUCACAUGAAAUAAUGGUUCUUGGUUUGGCAUUUGAGAGAAACCCUAGGUGACACUGGGGUGUCACAUGCACUACGGUGGCACCAUUGCCGGUGACCCACGAUUUGGCGCCUCGGUGCGAAUUACUCAGAUGGAAUCGGUGCUACGCGCAGAGGAAACAAAACCGAAUCACUAGGAUAGCUUCUUACCAGAGGCGGAGACCAGGGCAGGGCCAGUCACGACGCAGGGCGAAGCAGCGGCAAGGAUGGUACUCCGGCGAGGAAUUAUCGCCGCCACGGAGGUGCCCGAGGGAAACCAACAGCACCACACGAUUCCAGUGGUCGGGCCGAGCACAAGAACCAAAUCCCAGGGCUAGACGAACGGGUAUUGAAGCCUGUCCUCGCGGCGGCGGAAGGCUCCCAGUUUUCCCCUGCGGUUUGUGGUGAUCAACGGAUUCGCGUGAAGGUAGGUGGGAGGAGGCGGACGCGCCCGGAUCUUUAUACUCAGAUCGAGGGGCAAAUCACCACCCAAACCCCCGGUCAAAUCGUUGGUUGGUUUACAACCAUCCGCCCGCCAUGCGCGCAGGAACCAGGGAGGAGGAGCACGAGGACUUACGCG